rnacentral:rRNA from 1 species
AUGAACACGGAAGAUGUUCGCAAGGCUUUAUUCGAUAUUGGGGACUUGAAAGCUCCAGGACCAGAUGGUCUCCAUGCUAUUUUCUAUAAAAGGUUCUGGCCUAUGCUGGGGGAGGACCUAAUUGAGGAGGUUCUGAAAGCAGUCAAAACAUGUACUAUCCCGACCGGUUGGAACGAUACGGCGAUCGUGAUGAUUCCUAAGAUUAAUACACCAGAAAAGGUAACACAAUUUAGACCGAUCAGCUUAUGUAAUGUGGUAUACAAAAUAAUUGCAAAAAUGGUGGCUACCCGUUUGAAGGUUUUUUUUACCAGAAAUCAUUAG